rnacentral:tRNA from 1 species
UGGCUCAAUGGUUAAGUGCUUGGCUGAUAACCAAAAGGUCAGUGGUUCAAAUCCACC